AGAGUUUGAUCCUGGCUCAGGAUGAACGCUAGCUACAGGCUUAACACAUGCAAGUCGAGGGGAAACGAUAUUGGAAGCUUGCUUCCGAUAGGCGUCGACCGGCGCACGGGUGAGUAACGCGUAUCCAACCUGCCCACCACUUGGGGAGUAACCUUGCGAAAGUAAGACUAAUACCCAAUGAUAUCUCUAGAAGACAUCUGAAAGAGAUUAAAGAUUUAUCGGUGAUGGAUGGGGGAUGCGUCUGAUUAGCUUGUUGGCGGGGUAACGGCCCACCAAGGCGACGAUCAGUAGGGGUUCUGAGAGGAAGGUCCCCCACAUUGGAACUGAGACACGGUCCAAACUCCUACGGGAGGAGCA
rnacentral:rRNA from 1 species